CUACGGGGGGUGCGAGCGUUAUCCGGAUUUAUUAGGUUUAAAGGGUGUGUAGGCGGGAGCCUAAGUCAGUGGUGAAAUCUCACAGCUUAACUGUGAAACUGCCAUUGAAACUGGGUUUCUUGAGUAUAGUUGAGGUAGGCGGAAUGUGUAAUGUAGCGGUGAAAUGCAUAGAUAUUACACAGAACACCGAUUGCGAAGGCAGCUUACUAAGCUAUUACUGACGCUGAUGCACGAAAGCGUGGGUAGCGAACAGGAUUAGAAACCCCAGUAGUCC
rnacentral:rRNA from 1 species